rnacentral:rRNA from 1 species
AUUGAACGCUGGCGGCAGGCUUAACACAUGCAAGUCGAGCGGGGGAAGGUAGCUUGCUACCGGACCUAGCGGCGGACGGGUGAGUAAUGCUUAGGAAUCUGCCUAUUAGUGGGGGACAACAUCUCGAAAGGGAUGCUAAUACCGCAUACGUCCUACGGGAGAAAGCAGGGGAUCUUCGGACCUUGCGCUAAUAGAUGAGCCUAAGUCGGAUUAGCUAGUCGGUGGGGUAAAGGCCUACCAAGGCGACGAUCUGUAGCGGGUCUGAGAGGAGGAUCCGCCACACUGGGACUGGGACACGGGCCAGACUCCUACGGGAGGCAGCAGUGGGGAAUAUUGGACAAUGGGGGGAACCCUGAUCCAGCCAUGCCGCGUGUGUGAAGAAAGCCUUAUGGUUGUAAAGCACUUUAAGCGAGGAGGAGGCUACUCUAGUUAAUACCUAGGGAUAGUGGACGUUACUCGCGGAAUAAGCACCGGCUAACUCUGUGCCAGCAGCCGCCGUAA